ACCUUUACAAUGUUGUAAAUGAGUUCAUUGGAUAAUGCUUCAAUACUAGAUAAUAUAGGAAAAUCUAAUUUUGAAGAACUACCAGAAGAAGCCUUUAAAAAUCCGAACGAACGUGAAGGACGCGUUAGUAAGCAGACUGGAAACUUAAUAAAAUUUAAGAUUUUAUUAUAUCAAAUAUAGCAGAAGAAAAUUAGAUUAGACAAAAAAAAUUCUCGAAAACUCUCCCGGUCGCCUGUAAGAGAAAAGGCUCGUUUAAAUUUAUUAAGGAUUGAGAAUGAAUUGGAAAAAUUAUACCAAUCCAC